CCUACGGGUGGCAGCAGUGGGGAAUAUUGGACAAUGGGCGAAAGCCUGAUCCAGCCAUGCCGCGUGUGUGAAGAAGGCCUUCGGGUUGUAAAGCACUUUCAGUGGGGAAGAAAGCCUUGGGGCUAAUACCCUCGAGGAAGGACAUCACCCACAGAAGAAGCACCGGCUAACUCCGUGCCAGCAGCCGCGGUAAUACGGAGGGUACGAGCGUUAAUCGGAAUUACUGGGCGUAAAGCGCGCGUAGGCGGUCUGAUAAGCCGGUUGUGAAAGCCCCGGGCUCAACCUGGGAACGGCAUCCGGAACUGUCAGGCUAGAGUGCAGGAGAGGAAGGUAGAAUUCCCGGUGUAGCGGUGAAAUGCGUAGAGAUCGGGAGGAAUACCAGUGGCGAAGGCGGCCUUCUGGACUGACACUGACGCUGAGGUGCGAAAGCGUGGGUAGCAAACAGGAUUAGAUACCCCAGUAGUC
rnacentral:rRNA from 1 species